CUGAAUUCUGGCUCUGCUGCUCUAGGGCUGGUUGACCAAGCAACUUUACCCCUCGAAGCCUCAGUUCACCUGGUCGGUGAAAGGGUACAGCUUACUAAAUGUGAAAGGUCAUCCUGAACAUUAAACCAGAGGACGCAGCAUUUACCAAGGGGUGGUGUGAAUUUCAUCAGCAGAAGGGGCAAGAGAGCAAACUUUCUAUUUUCAUGUAUUUCUUCUAGUGUAUAUUGGACACAAAUAGAAUGAGCCACAUCCUGUCAGUACUUUCAUGGAUGUUAUUGCUUCAGAUGACAUCGAGGUUAAAAAAAUGUCCCCAAAAGUUAAAAAAAGGUGGACGAAUAGUGGGGGAAGGAUUUUUUUGAAGGGGCAGAAAUGGUGAGAGUGGAUGAAUGGCCAAAGUGUAUCAGGAGCUCAUGUGAAGUGCUUAGCAUUGUCCUAAGGGCUCAGCAUGGCCUCCAGGGUGGGUAACUACAAACGAUGAUGAUGAUGGUGAUGAUGAUGAUGAUGGUGAUGGUGAUGGUGAUGAUGAUGAUGGUGAUGGUGGUGAUGGUGAUGGUGGUGAUGGUGAUGGUGGUGAUGGUGAUGAUGGUGGUGAUGGUGAUGGUGAUGAUGGUGAUGAUAGUGAUGAUGAUGGUGGUGAUGGUGAUGGUGGUGAUGGUGAUGAUGGUGGUGAUGGUGAUGGUGGUGAUGGUGAUGGUGGUGAUGGUGAUGAUGGUGAUGAUGAUGAUGGGGAUGAUGGUGAUGUUGAUGGUGAUGAUGAUGAUGCUUGUGACUUUUUGUUGUUGAGGGGACACCUCCUGUGUUAUUGAGGAAUGCCAGUUCUUUUGAUUAAAUUAUUGUGCAACCUCAGGCAAAGUCUUCCCCCUUCCUGGGCUUGGACCACUCACCCACUUGGAGAUGUUAGUGGGCUACAGUUUCCUUUUAUUCUCCUGUGACUCUUAGGCCUGCCUGUUUUGGUUAGGUUCUGAAUGGUAAGGCUAUGUUGAGGCAACCUCUGUCCUCAAACCCUGGGGGAAACUUCUGGUAUAAAUACCAGGCCAGAGCCCAAAAAUGGGAACAUCUGGUUAAAGCCUGGCAGGGCCCAGCCACUGCUUCCCAGAGGUGAGAUGGACAUAAUAGUUCUUUUGCUAGACCCGGUGAUUUAUGUACCUUUCCUGGAAGCUCUGGUGUUUGCACUUGUUUGACGUAGGAGGCAGGGGGACCAGGAAGGUAUCAGGAAGAAGGUGUUUAAUGAGUUGGGUAACUAUUAGGUGAGCAGUAGUGAUGGCCAUAGACUGGGAGCUGGGCCAAGGGUAUCUCCCUAGCUGGGAGGUCUGAGAGGUUUUGACCAUAUCAGGGGCCCUGUGACAGCUGCUGCAAUCCUUACCCUUCACUCCAGAGUGUGCAGCUGAGCAACAAACUCACCUGAAAGGGAGAUACUAAUCCUCAAACUGCAUUACUGAAUCCAAUUCACAGCUUGUUUUACCUCUCCGGGAGCAGCUUGGAAUGGGGAGGAGAAGGCCGGGACUCAGAUCAGCCUUGGAUUCAAAUCCUGCCUCAUUAGCUGUGUGAUUUGGGGUGCUAUAUUUUGCCACUCAACCUCAGUAUCUUCCUCUGUAAACUGGAAUGAAUCAAUGCAGCUGAGAUUCCUGAAGAAAAGCCAAAGUUGGAUGGAGGUGGUUGUGGUUGGUACAAAUAUUGGGUAGCAGAGCAGAGAAGAGAA
ensembl:lincRNA